rnacentral:rRNA from 1 species
AUCUACGGCCAUGCUACCCUGAACAAGCCCAAUCCUGUCUGAUCUUGGAAGCUAAGCAGGGUCGGGCCUGGUUAGUACUUGAAUGGAGACCACCUAGGAAGACCAGGUGCUGUAGGUG